GCUGGCGGCAUGCCUAACACACGCAAGUCGAACGCGAAAGCCCUUCGGGGUGAGUAGAGUGGCGGACGGGUGAGUAACGCGUGGGAAUCUGCCCUGUAGUGGGGAACAACCCGGGGAAACUCGGGCUAAUACCGCAUACGUCUUACGGGAGAAAGGGGGCUUCGGCUCUCGCUACAGGAUGAGCCCGCGUCCGAUUAGCUAGUUGGUGGGGUAAAGGCCUACCAAGGCGACGAUCG
rnacentral:rRNA from 1 species